rnacentral:tRNA from 1 species
GGGCGGUUAGCUCAGCUGGUAGAGCACCUGCUUUACACGCAGGGGGUCGGGGGUUCGAGCCCCUCACCGCCCA